UCUCAGCAUCUCUGCUGAGUGAAUUCACUCCUCAGCCCUGUUCAGACCAGCAUUGGGCAGUGUGGUCUGGGGCCCAGGGGGAAUUGAGGUUCAUUCCAGCGCUUGAAGGGGGAGUCUUGGUGGGGAUCAGGGCUUGUUACUGAUGUCAAGGAGGUGUUUGGUCAGGAUCAGUGGGUCAGGAGGGGUCUCAAGGUGGAGGGACUCUGACACCACUGCCCUGCUUACAGGUCGCCUGCGAGGCCGCUGGCCAGGCCUGAGCCUCUGCCACCAUGGCCAUUGUGCAGACUCUGCCAGUGCCACUGGAGCCUGCUCUUGAAGCUGCCACUGCCCCACAAGCUCCAGUCAUGGGUAGUGUGAGCAGCCUUAUCUCAGGCCGGCCCUGUCCCGGGGGGCCAGCUCCUCCCCGCCACCAUGGCCCUCCUGGGCCCACCUUCUUCCGCCAGCAGGAUGGCCUGCUACGGGGUGGCUAUGAGGCACAGGAGCCGCUGUGCCCAGCUGUGCCCCCUAGGAAGGCUGUCCCUGUCACCAGCUUCACCUACAUCAAUGAGGACUUCCGGACAGAGUCACCCCCCAGCCCAAGCAGUGAUGUUCAGGGACGCUAUCCGACUCUGGCCGAAACUCACUGUCCAGCCUGCCCACCUACAGCACCGGAGGUGCCGAGCCAACCACCAGCUCCCCAGGCGGGCACCUGCCUUCCCAUGGCUCUGGGCGAGGGGCAC
rnacentral:lncRNA from 1 species